rnacentral:rRNA from 1 species
UACGUAGGUGGCAAGCGUUGUCCGGAUUUAUUGGGUUUAAAGGGUGCGUAGGCGGUCUUAUAAGUCAGUGGUGAAAUACGGCAGCUCAACUGUCGAGGUGCCAUUGAUACUGUAGGACUUGAGUACAGACGAGGUAGGCGGAAUUGACGGUGUAGCGGUGAAAUGCUUAGAUAUCGUCAAGAACACCGAUAGCGAAAGGCAGCUUACUAGGCUGUAACUGACGCUGAGGCACGAAAAGUGUGGGGAUCAAAACAGGGAUUAGAAA